CCAACAGAAACCACUGUUCACCAACUUUUCCAAACAGCUCUGUUGUAGUCCAACCUUUACUUAGAGACGAAUGUGCGUCACUUUGUAGCACACUAUGGUUACACUUUCCUU